UAAGCGUGCUUGGGCGAGAGUAG
rnacentral:misc_RNA from 1 species